rnacentral:sRNA from 1 species
UAUCUCUCCGUACGGGGAAGGAUGAGAAGCUUCGACUAAGGUUCGAUUCGAGCGCAGCGAGAAAGCGUUACCGCAGGCAACGACCCGAAGGGUGAGGAGCGGAGCGACGAAUAAUCCUUCCCCACCACCA